UGCCUCUUUGAUGAUGGGUUCUCAGCUUGAUCCUUUGUCUCUUAUCCCUGAUGAACCUUAGGAUCAUAUUAAUGAUGCUAACUAUUGGAUGGUUGCCAUUGUCCUCCUCAAGUUGGCACUGAGAUGACUGCACGACCAUCCAAUCUUCUCAUUCUCAAAUGUACUUUUCGAGAUAUCCUCUCUGAAUGAAGGCCUCAAUGUCAUCUUUUAGCUUGCGAUACUCUUCGAUAUCAUGGCUGACAUCACGAUGGAAUUAGCAAUACUUAUUCUGGUUCUAUCCCAUCGAUAGGCUUUCGUCAGCUCUAGCCUGAGAAGAUAUUUUUCUCCCUCGAUCUCCAUGAGGAUCUAAGACUAAGGUGCGGAUAAAGGGUGUAGGUGUCGAAUUGAUGAGGCAAGCUAGUUGACCUCACCCUGGGAUCCUCGAGGCUCUUUGAGGGCAUUUUUUGCCUCCUUUCUUAUUUCAUUCAAUUUAUCAACAAAUGGCUGCAACUUCUUUGGGCCUACGCAUACUAUCAAGCAUAGGCGAGGAGGUUGGCAUAAUC
rnacentral:lncRNA from 1 species